rnacentral:rRNA from 1 species
UACGUAGGGUCCGAGCGUUGUCCGGAAUUACUGGGCGUAAAGAGCUCGUAGGUGGUUUGUCGCGUUGUUCGUGAAAACUCACAGCUUAACUGUGGGCGUGCGGGCGAUACGGGCAGACUUGAGUACUGCAGGGGAGACUGGAAUUCCUGGUGUAGCGGUGAAAUGCGCAGAUAUCAGGAGGAACACCGGUGGCGAAGGCGGGUCUCUGGGCCGAGUACUGACGCUGAGGAGCGAAAGCGUGGGGAGCGAACAGG